GACAACCCUUAACUGAAUGCAAGACGCAGGCUGUCUCCCAUCUAUGCAAUACCCUGGAAGUGCUCCCUCGGAGGGGAUCCCCAGGUCCUUGACUCGGUUCCCCCAACAGUUCCAAAAGGGGUCACGAGUUGUAGGGGCUGAGGGCUCUGCCGAGAAGCCCGGAAGGGGAAGAGAUUUUUGAAACCAAGAAUCCUGCUACACUGGCAAGAAACGCAAGUAGUCGAGACCCCCCACACCCUUUCCAGCUGCGCCUGCCUUGCCACCCGCUCUUUCUUCUUCAGCGCCUCAUUCCAGAGAACUGCUUUCGGAAAAAUCCCGCCACCAGGAGCUGGGACACGGAGAAGUGACAAUACACAGGACAAUGGCCUCUGACCAUGGAGGCUCCCACUCCGUGCCCGUCCCCUGUGAAACUCGCCUUACCUUCGUGGUUCCUUCCUGGACAGUCCUGGUAGAUUCUUUUGCAUGUGUUCCUAAGCCUAGAAGCAUUGCAAUAAAAUUUACAGCGCCUUUAACAACUCGCAAGUAAAGCA